rnacentral:lncRNA from 1 species
AUGGGGCUGGGACAUCCCUUGGGUCGGUUCUGGCCGAGGACCUUCACCAGCCCCUUGCUCUCCUGUUCUCCUUGGAGGUGGUGCGAAGGGCUCUGGCACAGAGGCCUGGCCGUGCCUGUCCCCUGGGCUUUGGCCAGGAGAAGUCUCUGCUUUUUCCUCUCUGCCCCCUCCCUCACCCUGUGCAGCCAAGGGGACAGCGGCUGGCCUGGGUGCCCAGGGAGGUUAGCGUGGGUGGGGAGGAGGGUGCUGGCUGGGGCCUGCCCACGACUCUCCCCAUCAUCACAGCCCGUCACUGCUGUGUGUUUAGCUCGGCACGUGAGCGUUAUUACCUGCCUCCGCACAGGGCAUAGUUUUAACCUGAGCCAUAAUGAGGGGCUGGGGCGGGCAGGCAGGACACACCCAGCCGCUGUUUUCUGGGGUGCACUGGCUCCCCAGGGCUGUGAGAGCACCCUUGGGUGCCGUUGGCGCAGGCAUUGGCAGCCUGAGGAGGGAGCUUGGCUGGGCCCCCGGGACAGGCCGGGGACGCGAGAAGUGAUGGAAGAGGAUCUUUGUAGCAGAGCAGGUCCUGGCCAAGUGGAGGUAAGGUGUGGGGGCAGUGGGCCAUCAGGGAGGGAGCCAGGACCGAGCUCGGAGGUGUUAUGGUGUCUCCUGUGUGCAAGGCGCUGUACAAGUGCCACAGCCAGGCCCUGGGCAGGUCUGGUGGGAUUGCUCCCCUGGUGGCAUUUCUCCUCACUGCCGGGGCAACUUGGGCAAGGAUUUGUGUGGAGACAGGCAGGUGCUGGGCUGAGGUUUGGGGCAUCCGCGCUCAGCCCAGGUGCCCCCAUCCAGCUCCCUGGCCUCAGUUUCUCCUUGAUCCUAGCCCAAGGAAGAUGCUGCAAGGUUAAAGGACUAGGAGUGGGGCAGACCUUGAAGGACUAUGUCCUGCGCAAGGUGCAUCCUUACGGCCUCCGAGCUGGGGCAGCAGGGCACCCCCAGGACCACCGUCUCCCUCUUUAUUUACCCCUCGGGACUGGGAAGGGGGCGGCGAGGUCCCGGGCAGCGGGACCGCUGGCCCGGGGAGGUCCCAGCCCCCCUCCGUCCCCAGGCGGGCGGUGUGUCCGUGGGAUGCCCACCGACGAAUCCAGCUCCGUGGCUUUCCAAACUGCUGGUCUUAUGUUUUUUUCCUCCGUCGUCUCCGGUUUGGGAGGUCCCAAGGAGCGGGGGCUGCGGUGGGAACAGCUGCAAAGCCCCGUGGGGCAGCGCCCCCCCCGUUCCCCGCGACAAGGUGCCGGGGCACCCCAAAAAGCUCGCCCAAAAAGGCCGAAUCCUUCGGGGCGGCUUGCCCGGACGGGGGGGCUUCGCCGGCCGAGCAAGGGGGCGACCCCGUGGGGCAGCUCCCGCGGCGCCCCG